rnacentral:rRNA from 1 species
CGGACGGGUGAGUAACGCGUGAGAAUCUGGCUUCAGGUCUGGGACAACCAUUGGAAACGGUGGCUAAUACCGGAUGUGCCGAAGGGUGAAAGGUUAACUGCCUGAAGAUGAGCUCGCGUCUGAUUAGCUAGUUGGUAGAGUAAAAGCCUACCAAGGCGACGAUCAGUAGCUGGUCUGAGAGGACGAUCAGCCACACUGGGACUGAGACACGGCCCAGACUCCUACGGGAGGCAGCAGUGGGGAAUUUUCCGCAAUGGGCGAAAGCCUGACGGAGCAAUACCGCGUGAGGGAGGAAGGCUCUUGGGUCGUAAACCUCUUUUCUCAGGGAAGAACACAAUGACGGUACCUGAGGAAUAAGCAUCGGCUAACUCCGUGCCAGCAGCCGCGGUAAUACGGAGGAUGCAAGCGUUAUCCGGAAUGAUUGGGCGUAAAGCGUCCGCAGGUGGCAAUGUAAGUCUGCUGUUAAAGAGUCUAGCUCAACUAGAUAAGAGCAGUGGAAACUACAUAGCUAGAGUACGUUCGGGGCAGAGGGAAUUCCUGGUGUAGCGGUGAAAUGCGUAGAGAUCAGGAAGAACACCAGUGGCGAAGGCGCUCUGCUAGGCCGUAACUGACACUGAGGGACGAAAGCUAGGGGAGCGAAUGGGAUUAGAUACCCCAGUAGUC